rnacentral:lncRNA from 1 species
ACUACGGAACGCGCACGCGGGGCGCCACAGCUGGGGAACCCAUGCCCGGUCCGCGCGCCGACGUCCACUGCGCGCUCGUGCGCGUCCUGGGGCCUCCGCGGAGGGAGUGCGCGGUCCAGGAGAGGGCGGGGCGCUGCGAGCGGGCGGUGUUGUGGGAAGGAGGAAGGAGAGGAAGAGAGAGAGGGGGAGAGAAAGGAAAGGCUUGGGGCGGGGAGAGGCCACAGGGCCGUGUCUGGAUCCCCGGGAGGACCCCACCCCGACCUGGCCGGCCCCCGUGACCGCCCUCCCUGCCGAGGGGGCACCUGUCCGGGUGGUCCGCAGCCUGCACACGGUAGGUGCACCCUGGGCAGGUGCUUCCCCCGCAGGAGCCCCUCCGGCCAGGUGCGGCCCCUAACAGGUGCUUCUCCUGCAGUUGCUCCUCCAGCAGCAGGUUCCAAGUUCUUGUCCCAUGUCCAGGAAGAAUGAGGUUUGGCAGACAUCUGGAGGGUGAGCAAGGCAGAGAACAGCUGACCAAAUAGCUCUCAGUGGAGAGGAGACUCGAAGUGGGUAGCUCCUAUCCACAGGCACGUAUGGGCUCAGAAUGGAGGAAGUACAUGUUGAUUGGUCCAUAGACAGGAGGAAGUGUGUGCUGAUUGGCCCAUGGGCAGGCCUGGAAAAAGCACUACUUGAUUGGCUGAAAGGCAUCAAGUAAGUUCUCUUUCUGGAUCUCGGACUUCACCAGGAACUGGCAUCCUGGCCCAGGAACUUCAGGCUGUCCCUGGCUUGAAAGUGGGGUUUCACCAGGGACCUGCCCCUUCCCACCCAGGAACCUGUCUGCCUCCCGCUGCCAUCACCGUUCACUGGGAAUGUGACCUUCCCCGCAAAUAGAUGACACUCCUCCAGAACUCAGCUCAAGCUUUACCUUCUAUAGGGGUUUAUUUCCUGAACCCCAUAACCCUCACUGUAAUGCAAUCUCUUAGCCCCCUACCACAGGCCUCAUCAUCUCCUCCAUGUCAAGCACUGUGUCAUCCUUAGUCCUAUAUCCGUGGCGUAAGGCCUGGCACAUUUUAGAUGCUUGAAGAAAAUAUUUUCUGAAUAAAUGAAUGAAUGAGGCAUGAGAUCAUCUGUGUUCUUAAAAUCUUACAAUGUGGUAAAUUAGAAAA